AGGUGCCGUGCCCGCGCCUGACUUACUCAUUGCUUGGGCCGCGCUUCCACCGCGAACCACGGUUCCUCUGGCUUUCUUGGGGCCGGCGGGGAGCCGUGGGGAGCGCCGUAAAGCAGGUGUGGCGGAGCGCCGGGCGGUGGGAAUUCAGGAGCCGAACUCUCUCAGGGACUGAUUGUCCGGGCCCCUCCGGCCCUCGCGCAGCCCCACGCCGGCAGUCCAGGCGGGCAUCACGCUUACAAGUCCCGUUCUAUGACGUACCCCAGCGAGGGCCCUGCAGCCCUAGGGCCGGUCUCUGCCUUCUCCAUGGACCCUACCGCUUCCCACAAAAAGUAAACUCGCCAAACUCCAGCUCCUGACCCUAGGAGAAAAUGUGGAGUGUCUGCCCAGGGUCUGAGUAAGCUCGGGAAUUGGUCCACUGGGCUAGGCAGGUCUUAGAGGGACCCGGACUGAAGUGAAGGGACAAUCGCAACCUGAGCAAAAAGCAGUGAGGGCAAACUACCCCCUCUGUUCCCGCCCUCCGCGGUGCCUUUCCAGUGCCUUCCUGGAAAGGGGGGAGGGCAGCGUGGCCACACCAGUAGCUUAUGUAAGGACAGUGUUGUGGUACAGCAACUUAAGAUGCCAGUACCCCAUGAAUGCUACUUCCAUUUCCGGCAGUUACCUCCAGUGCAGCUCCCCAUAACGCACCUAGUUGAAC